UACGUAGGGUGCAAGCGUUGUCCGGAAUUAUUGGGCGUAAAGAGCGUGUAGGCGGCCUGAAAGGUCAGCUGUGAAAACUCGAGGCUCAACCUCGAGACGUCGGUUGAAACCAUCUGGCUAGAGUCCGGAAGAGGAGAGUGGAAUUCCCGGUGUAGCGGUGAAAUGCGCAGAUAUCGGGAAGAGCACCCGUGGCGAAGGCGGCUCUCUGGGACGGUACUGACGCUGAGACGCGAAAGCGUGGGGAGCGAACAGG
rnacentral:rRNA from 1 species